rnacentral:rRNA from 1 species
CCUACGGGUGGCAGCAGUGAGGAAUAUUGGUCAAUGGGCGCAAGCCUGAACCAGCCAAGUCGCGUGAGGGAUGACGGUCCUAUGGAUUGUAAACCUCUUUUGUCGGGGAGCAAGGCCCGCCACGUGUGGCGGGAAGGAGAGUACCCGAAGAAAAAGCAUAGGCUAACUCCGUGCCAGCAGCCGCGGUAAUACGGAGGAUGCGAGCGUUUUCCGUAUUUAUUGGGGUUAAAGGGGGAUUAGGCGGAAGGUUAAGUAUGCGGUCCAAUGGUGGUGCUCAACACCGGCCUGCCGUUGAACCUGGUCAUCUUGUGUGCGCGAGAAGUAUGCGGAAGGCGUGGUGUAGCGGUGAAAUGCAUAGAUAUCACGCAGAACUCCGAUUGCGAAGGCAGCAUACCGGCGCUCAACUGACGCUGAGGCACGAAAGCGUGGGGAUCGAACAGGAUUAGAUACCCCGGUAGUC